ensembl:lncRNA
CUGAGGGAGGAUGUGGGGCUAUGGGGUGUGGGGGGUGGAGAUGGGGGCUGGGGUUAUGGGGCUACGGGAUGUGGGGGUCUUGGAUGUGGGGCUGGGAGUUGUGGGGCUGGGGGUUAUGGGGCUGUGGGAUGUGGGGCUGAGGGUUAUGGGGCUGUGGGAUGUGGGGCUGGGGGUUAUGGGGCGCCGCUGUGGGGCUCGGCCCCAUAAGAAUGCCGCUAUGGGGCGCGUGGUGCAGCGCAGCAUUGUGGUGCUAUGGGGCAGAGUUAUAGGGCAGAGCUGUGGGGAGGAUCUAUGGGGCAGCGCUAUGGGGCAGAGCUUUGGGAAGAUCUAUGGGGCAGAGGUGUGGGGCAGAGCUAUGGGGAGGAUCUAUGGGGCAGAGUUAUAGGGCAGAGUUACAGGGCAGAGUUAUGGGGAAGAUCUAUGGGGCAGAGCUAUGGGGAGGAUCUAUGGGGCAGAGUUAUAGAGCAGAGUUAUAGGGAAGAUAUGUGGGGCAGAGGUGUGGGGCAGAGCUAUGGGGAGGAUCUAUGGGGCAGAGCUAUAGGGCAGAGCUUUGGGAAGGUCUAUGGGGCAGAGGCGCGAUGUGUGGGGCAGAGCCAUGGGGUAGAGGCCUCAUCUAUGGGGCACAGGCAUCAUCAAUGGGGCAGAGGCCCCAUCCAUGGGGCAGAGGCAUCAUCUAUAGGGCACAGGCCUCAUCUAUGGGGCGGAGGCGCGAUGUGUGGGGCAGAGCCAUGGGGUAGAGGCCUCAUCUAUGGGGCACAGGCAUCAUCAAUGGGGCAGAGGCCCCAUCCAUGAGGCAGAGGCAUCAUCUAUAGGGCACAGGCCUCAUCAAUGGGGCAGAAGCAUCAUCUAUGGGGCAGAGCCAUGGGGCAGAAGCCUCAUCUAUGGGGCAGAGCCAUGGGGCAGAGGCCUCAUCAAUGGGGCAGAGCCGCCAUCUAUGGGGCAGAGGCCUCAUCUAUGGGGCAGAGCCAUGGGGCAGAAGCCUCAUCUAUGGGACAGAGGCCUCAUCUAUGGGGUACAGGCCUCAUCUAUGGGGCAGAGGCCUCAUCUAUGGGGCAGAGGCCCCAUCUGUGGGGCGGAGGCGCGAUGUGUGGGGCAGAGCCAUGGGACAGAGGCCUCAUCUAUGGGGCAGAAGCAUCAUCUAUGGGGCAGAGGCCUCAUCUAUGGGGCAGAAGCCUCAUCUAUGGGGCAGAGGCCCCAUCCGUGGGGCAGAGGCGCGAUGUGUGGGGCUCAGUAGUUGGAGGAGCGCUCCUGCUGUCUGUAGGCCCCACGGCGAAGGUAACCGCCGUCCCCCUUCCGGUAGCCGUCCUUCUGAUCUGUGGGGCACAGGAACACUUAUGGGGCACAGCAGCACUUAUGGGGCAGAGAGGUACUUAUGGGGCACAGAAACACAGGGCAGAGGAGUACUUAUGGGGCACAGAAACACGGGGCAGAGGAGCACUUAUGGGGCACAGAAAGACAGGGCAGAGGAGCACUUAUGGGGCACAGGAACAUUUAAGGGGCAGAGGAGCACUUAUGGGGCACAGAAACACGGGGCACAGGAACACUUAUGGGGCACAGGAGCACUUAUGGGGCAGAGAAGCACUUAUGGGGCAGAGAGGCACUUAUGGGGCAGAGGAGCACUUAAGGGGCAGAGAAGCACAGGGAAGAGAGGCACUUAUGGGGCAGAAAGGCACUUAUGGGGCAGAGGAGCACUUAUAGGGCAGAGAGGCACUUAUGGGGCACAGAAACACGGGGCAGAGGAGUACUUAUGGGGCACAGGAACAUUUAAGGGACAGAGGAGCACUUAUGGGGCAGAGGAACACUUAUGGGGCAGAGAGGUACUUAUGGGGCAGAGAGAUACUUAUGGGGCACAGAAACACGGGGCACAGGAGUACUUAUGGGGCACAGGAACACUUAUGGGGCACAGGAACGCUUAUGGGGCACAGGAGCACUUAUGGGGCAGAGAGAUACUUAUGGGGCACAGAAACACGGGGCACAGGAACACUUAUGGGGCAGAGGGGCACUUAAGGGGCAGAGGAACACAGGGAAGAGAGGCACUUAUGGGGCAGAAAGGCACUUAUGGGACAGAAGAGCACUUAUGGGGCACAGAAACAUGGGGCAGAGGAGUACUUAUGGGGCAGAGGAGCACUUAUGGGGCAGAGAGGUACUUAUGGGGCACAGAAAGACGGCAGAGGAGCACUUAUGGGGCACAGGAACACUUAUGGGGCAGAAAGGCACUUAUGGGGCAGAGAGGUACUUAUGGGGCAGAGGAGUACAUAACCCCCAG